GUAAUAUUGUGAUUAAUAACUAUUCCUUAACUCAUAGUAGUUGACAAGUUUUCCUCAUGUUAAUAGCUGUCAGUUUCAGAUGGAUUUUACUCUCACUCUAGUGUCCUUGUUGUGGACAGAAUAUUAGCUAAAGUAAAAUGCCUAUUUGCUCUGCAUAACAAUAAUCAGUAUUAUUCAGUGACUACUCAAAAUGGCCGCUGGGAGUCACUCC